AACGAACGCUGGCGGCAUGCCUAACACAUGCAAGUCGAACGAACCCUUCGGGUUAGUGGCGCACGGGUGCGUAACACGUGGAAUCUGCCCUUUGCUUCGGAAUAACAGUUAGAAAUGACUGCUAAUACCGGAUGAUGUCGUAAGACCAAAGAUUUAUCGGCAAAGGAUGAGCCCGCGUAGGAUUAGGUAGUUGGUGGGGUAAAGGCCUACCAAGCCGACGAUCCUUAGCUGGUCUGAGAGGACGAUCAGCCACACUGGGACUGAGACACGGCCCAGACUCCUACGGGAGGGCAGCAGUUGGGGGAAAGUAAUUGGUACCGAAAUAGGG
rnacentral:rRNA from 1 species